AUUUUUCUUCUUUCAAACCCCCCUUCCCAAAUUGUCUCUCACUUUCUCACCAUCCAAUCACCUCCAAAAUCACAUAUCUUAAACCCCUUUCAUUUUCCUCCCAUUUUCCGGCAACUAUCAAGCAACCCUCACCAACUUCCAUGGUUGUUCUUUUUUACCAUCCCACUUUCAAGUUUCACCAUUAAUUACUUUAAACCCAAACCAAAAGCAUAGACAAAAUCUGCUCACAAAAUUUAUCUUCGAGCAAAUUUUUCACCAUCUAAAGCCUUUGUUUCUUCUUUUUUUUCUUCCAAUUAAAAAAUAAAAAGCGUUCUAAUACAUGGGAACUUUAGGGUUAGCAACUAGGUUUUCUCUAGCAUUUUCUUUCUGACCAAGGUUUGGUCAAAGCAACUUUUUGAAGACCACCAGAACCACCACGCCCUUUGUUCGCCUACACUAUCACUGACGUGGAGCUAGCAACUGUGAGUCGUCACUAGUGUGUUUGUUGGGGUUUGGAAAUUUUCUAGGUUCAAUGUUUUUGGGAUAUUGAUGCUUUUUUUGUGAUGUUAAUUUUCUUCCAACUGAUGGGUUCAAUUUUUUUAGGGAUUUUGGGUUCAAGGAUUUUUUUUACUUUCUAUUGGUUUUAUUAUUUUGGUUAAUAAAUAAUUUAAUGAAAAAUUAAAAUUUAACAUUUGAACUCG
rnacentral:lncRNA from 1 species